rnacentral:rRNA from 1 species
AUUAGAGUUUGAUCAUGGCUCAGGAUGAACGCUAGCGGUGCGCCUAACACAUGCAAGUCGAGCGCAGAUGGAGGUGACACAAAGCGGAUAAGAGAACAGAAUGCGAAGCAUUCUUUUCCUUUGUAUUCUUUGUGUCACUUCUUGAUGAGCGGCAGACGGGUGAGUAACGCGUUGGAAUCUACCCCAGAGUGAGGGAUAGCCCGGAGAAAUCCGGAUUAAUACCGCAUAGUCCCGAGAGGGUAAAAGAGCAAUCUGCUCUGGGAGGAUCCUGCGUCCUAUCAGCUAGUUGGCGGGGUAAAAGCCCACCAAGGCUAUGACGGGUAGUUGGUCUGAGAGGAUGACCAACCACAAUGGGACUGAGACACGGCCCAUACUCCUACGGGAGGCAGCAGUGAGGAAUCUUCCGCAAUGGGCGCAAGCCUGACGGAGCGACACCGCGUGGAGGACGAAGCCUUUGUUGGUGUAAACUCCUUUUUUCUCCGAAGAUAAUGACGGUAGGAGAAGAAUAAGAAGCAGCAAACUACGUGCCAGCAGCUGCGGUAAUACGUAGGCUUCAAGCGUUAUCCGGAAUUACUGGGUGUAAAGCGUCUGUAGGCGGCAGAGUAAGUUUGGCAUGAAAGACCGGGGCUUAACCCCGUGUUUGUGUCGAAAACUGCUCAGCUAGAAUCUGGGAGAGGGAAGCAGAAUGAUGUGAGUAGGGGUGCAAUCCGUUGAUACACAUCAGAAUACCAAAAGCGAAGGCAGCUUCCUGGAACAGUAUUGACGCUCAGAGACGAAAGCGUGGGGAGCGAAAAGGAUUAGAUACCCUUGUAGUCCACGCCCUAAACGAUGAUGACUAGGUGUCGGCGUAAGCCGGUGCUAUAAGCUAACGCGUUAAGUCAUCCACCUGAGGAGUACGGCCGCAAGGUUAAAACUCAAAUGAAUAGACGGGGACCCACACAAGCAGUGGAUCAUGUGGUUUAAUUCGACAAUAAACGAGGGACCUUACCCAGGCUUGACAUCCCGAGAAGUCCGAUGAAAGUUGGAUGUGCCCGCAAGGGAACUCGGUGACAGGCGCUGCAUGGUUGUCGUCAGCUCGUGCCUUGAGGUGUUCGGUUAAGUCCGUUAACGAGCGCAACCCAUGUCGUUAGUUAUUAUGUCUAACGAGACUGCCUGAGUUAAUCAGGAGGAAGGUGUGGAUGACGUCAAAUCAGCAUGGCCCUUAUGCCUGGGGCCACACACAUGAUACAAUGGUCGGUACAAAGAGUCGCAAUACAGUAAUGUGGAGCCAAUCUAUAAAGCCGAUCUCAGUCCGGAUUGAGGGCUGCAACUCGCCCUCAUGAAGUUGGAAUUGCUAGUAAUCGUGAAUCAGACAUGUCACGGUGAAUCUGUUCCUGGGUCUUGUACUCACCGCCCGUCAAACCAUGGGAGGUGCUUUUACUGGAAGCCCCCGAAGUAAUAUUGGGGUCCAUGGUAGAAGUGCUGACUGGGGUUAAGUCGUAACAAGGUAACCGUAAAU